rnacentral:rRNA from 1 species
CACCGGGGGCAUGCCUUAGUACGGCGAGUGAAGCGGCAAAAGCUCAAAUUUGAAAUCUGGUACCUUCGGUGCCCGAGUUGUAAUUUGGAGAGGGCAACUUUGGGGCCGUUCCUUGUCUAUGUUCCUUGGAACAGGACGUCAUAGAGGGUGAGAAUCCCGUGUGGCGAGGAGUGCGGUUCUUUGUAAAGUGCCUUCGAAGAGUCGAGUUGUUUGGGAAUGCAGCUCUAAGUGGGUGGUAAAUUCCAUCUAAAGCUAAAUAUUGGCGAGAGACCGAUAGCGAACAAGUACAGUGAUGGAAAGAUGAAAAGAACUUUGAAAAGAGAGUGAAAAAGUACGUGAAAUUGUUGAAAGGGAAGGGCAUUUGAUCAGACAUGGUGUUUUGUGCCCUCUGCUCCUUGUGGGUAGGGGAAUCUCGCAUUUCACUGGGCCAGCAUCAGUUUUGGUGGCAGGAUAAAUCCAUAGGAAUGUAGCUUGCCUCGGUAAGUAUUAUAGCCUGUGGGAAUACUGCCAGCUGGGACUGAGGACUGCGACGUAAGUCAAGGAUGCUGGCAUAAUGGUUAUAUGCCGCCCGUCUUGAACACCGGGGAAAA